ACUCAAAUGAAUUGACGGGGGCCCGCACAAGCGGCGGAGCAUGCGGAUUAAUUCGAUGCAACGCGAAGAACCUUACCAAGGCUUGACAUAUACCGGAAACACUCAGAGAUGGGUGCCCCGCAAGGUCGGUAUACAGGUGGUGCAUGGUUGUCGUCAGCUCGUGUCGUGAGAUGUUGGGUUAAGUCCCGCAACGAGCGCAACCCUCGUUCUAUGUUGCCAGCGGGUUAUGCCGGGGACUCAUAGAAGACUGCCGGGGUCAACUCGGAGGAAGGUGGGGAUGACGUCAAAUCAUCAUGCCCCUUAUGUCUUGGGCUUCACGCAUGCUACAAUGGCCGGUACAAAGGGCUGCGAUACCGCAAGGUGGAGCGAAUCCCAAAAAACCGGUCUCAGUUCGGAUUGGGGUCUGCAACUCGACCCCAUGAAGUCGGAGUCGCUAGUAAUCGCAGAUCAGCAACGCUGCGGUGAAUACGUUCCCGGGCCUUGUACACACCGCCCGU
rnacentral:rRNA from 1 species